UACGUAGGGUGCAAGCGUUGUCCGGAAUUAUUGGGCGUAAAGAGCUCGUAGGCGGUCUGUCGCGUCUGCUGUGAAAACCUAGGGCUUAACUCUGGGCGUGCAGUGGGUACGGGCAGGCUAGAGUGCGGUAGGGGAGACUGGAAUUCCUGGUGUAGCGGUGAAAUGCGCAGAUAUCAGGAGGAACACCGGGUGGCGAAGGCG
rnacentral:rRNA from 1 species